UGCAUAUUCAAAAAGCGGAGGAAAAGAAACCAACAGGGAUUGCCUUAGUAGCGGCGAGUGAGCGGCAAAAGCUCAAAUUUGAAAUCUGGCGCCUUCGGUGUCCGAGUUGUAAUUUGAAGAUUGUAACCUUGGGGUUGGCUCUUGUCUAUGUUUCUUGGAACAGGACGUCACAGAGGGUGAGAAUCCCGUGCGAUGAGAUGCCCAAUUCUAUGUAAGGUGCUUUCGAAGAGUCGAGUUGUUUGGGAAUGCAGCUCUAAGUGGGUGGUAAAUUCCAUCUAAAGCUAAAUAUUGGCGAGAGACCGAUAGCGAACAAGUACAGUGAUGGAAAGAUGAAAAGAACUUUGAAAAGAGAGUGAAAAAGUACGUGAAAUUGUUGAAAGGGAAGGGUUUGAGAUCAGACUCGAUAUUUUGUGAGCCUUGCCUUCGUGGCGGGGUGACCCGCAGCUUAUCGGGCCAGCAUCGGUUUGGGCGGUAGGAUAAUGGCGUAGGAAUGUGACUUUACUUCGGUGAAGUGUUAUAGCCUGCGUUGAUGCUGCCUGCCUAGACCGAGGACUGCGAUUUUAUCAAGGAUGCUGGCAUAAUGAUCCCAAACCGCCCGUCUUGAAACAGCGGACCA
rnacentral:rRNA from 1 species